AAGGAAGAUUAAUCCAGGAUGGGAUCAUGAGUUCACAUGUCCGCAUGAUUAAAGGUAUUUUCCGGUAGACGAUGGGGAUGCGUUCCAUUAGAUAGUAGGCGGGGUAACGGCCCACCUAGUCAACGAUGGAUAGGGGUUCUGAGAGGAAGGUCCCCCACAUUGGAACUGAGACACGGUCCAAACUCCUACGGGAGGCAGCAGUGAGGAAUAUUGGUCAAUGGGCGAUGGCCUGAACCAGCCAAGUAGCGUGAAGGAUGACUGCCCUAUGGGUUGUAAACUUCUUUUAUAAAGGAAUAAAGUCGGGUAUGCAUACCCGUUUGCAUGUACUUUAUGAAUAAGGAUCGGCUAACUCCGUGCCAGCAGCCGCGGUAAUACGGAGGAUCCGAGCGUUAUCCGGAUUUAUUGGGUUUAAAGGGAGCGUAGAUGGAUGUUUAAGUCAGUUGUGAAAGUUUGCGGCUCAACCGUAAAAUUGCAGUUGAUACUGGAUGUCUUGAGUGCAGUUGAGGCAGGCGGAAUUCGUGGUGUAGCGGUGAAAUGCUUAGAUAUCACGAAGAACUCCGAUUGCGAAGGCAGCCUGCUAAGCUGCAACUGACAUUGAGGCUCGAAAGUGUGGGUAUCAAACAGGAUUAGAUACCCUGGUAGUCCACACGGUAAACGAUGAAUACUCGCUGUUUGCGAUAUACGGCAAGCGGGCAAGCGAAAGCGUUAAGUAUUCCUCCUGGGGAGUACGCCGGCAACGGUGAAACUCAAAGGAAUUGACGGGGGCCCGCACAAGCGGAGGAACAUGUGGUUUAAUUCGAUGAUACGCGAGGAACCUUACCCGGGCUUAAAUUGCACUCGAAUGAUCCGGAAACGGUUCAGCUAGCAAUAGCGAGUGUGAAGGUGCUGCAUGGUUGUCGUCAGCUCGUGCCGUGAGGUGUCGGCUUAAGUGCCAUAACGAGCGCAACCCUUGUUGUCAGUUACUAACAGGUGAUGGUGAGGACUCUGACAAGACUGCCAUCGUAAGAUGUGAGGAAGGUGGGGAGGACGUCAAAUCAGCACGGCCCUUACGUCCGGGGGUACACACGUGUUACAAUGGGGGGUACAGAGGGCCGCUACCACGCGAGUGGAUGCCAAUCCCUAAAACCCCUCUCAGUUCGGAGUGGAGUGUGCAACCCGACUCCACGAAGCUGGAUUCGCUAGUAAUCGCGCGUCAGCC
rnacentral:rRNA from 1 species